CAAAAAUGAAGAAUCUGAUUCUAAAAUCAUUUGAAAAUUCAAAGGACAAAGAACAGACAACAUAUCAUUUGAAAAAAAGGACAAAGUUAAGGCUCACAUUUUUUAAAUUUCAAAUCUUACUGAAGGUACAGUGAGCAAGACAGUAUAGUACUGGCAUAAAAAUCAAUAUCAAUGUGAUAAUAUUCAUAUUUUAGGAGGUCCCGCUGUGGUGCAAUGAGAUCGGUAGUGUCUCGACAGCACCAGGACACAGGUUAGAUCCUCGCCCUGGUGCAGUGGGUUAAAGGAUCCAGCGAUGCUGCAGCUGCAGCGUAGGUCACAACAGUGACUCAGAUCUGAUCCCUGACCUGGGAACUCUGUAUGCUGUGGGGUGGGCAAAAAAGAAAAAAAACCAAACAAACUGAAUUCUGUAAAGAAACCCAUGUAUCUGUGGUCAGUUAAUUUUUUACAAAGAUACUGAGAUCAUUCAAUGUGGGGAAAGAAUGGUCUUGAACAAAUGGCACAACUGAGUAUCCACAAAAGAAUGAAGUUGGGCCCUUCAGAUCAUAUACAAAAAUUAAUUUGAAAUGGACUAAAAACAGUUAAGAGCUGAAACUAUAAAACCCUUAGAAACAGGUGUACAUUUUCUUUCUUUUUGUAUGUGUGCUUUUAGGGCAACACGCAUGGCAUGUGGAAAUUUCCAGGCUAAGGGUCUAAUCAGAACUGUAGCUGUCAGCCUAUGCCACACCCACCACAACAUGGGAUCCAAGCCUCAUCUGUGACCCCACAGCUCUCGACAAUGCUGAAUCCUUGACCCACUGAGCAAGGCCAGGGAUUGAACCUUCAUCCUCAUGGUUCCUAGUCGGGUUUGCAAACCAUUGAGCCACAGAGGGAACUCCCAGGUGUACAGUGGCUUUUUAGGUAUGACCUCAAAAGCACAAGCAUCCAAAGAAAAAUAUAAAUUGAAACUUCCAUCAAAAUUCAAAACUUUUGGGGCCUUCUCACCAUGGCACAGUGAGUUAAUGAUCUGGGUUAUUUUCUGUGGAGGCCGCCCGUUCGAUCCCUAACCUGGUGCAGUGGGUUAAGGAUCCAGCACUGCUGCAGCUGCAGCAUAGGUCACAGCUGUGGCUCAGAUUUGAUCCCUGGCCCGGAAACUUCUGUAUGCCACGGGUGCAGCCAAAAAGAAAAAACAACAUAAAAUUAAAACUUUUGGUACACCAAAGGACACUAUCAAUCUUAAAUCAACUAUGCUAGUAAAAAAAUUUAAAAAGGGCUCUAUAAAGAAAGUGAAAAGGCAACCCACGAAUGAGAGAUCAUAAUCCGAUAAAAUAAUGAUAUAAUGACAAUAGAUGUAUGUAUCUAGAAUAUAUACGGAACUGUUACAAACAACUCAGCUUAACAGGCAAAAGAUUUGAAUAGACAGUUUUGUAAAAAUGACUAAGAGCACAUGAAAAGAUGUUAAACAUCGUUAGCCAUUAGGGAAAUGCAAAUCAAAAUCACAAAAUACCACCUUACAUGGAGUUCCCGUUGUGCAGUGGAAACAAUCUGACUAGGAACCAUGAGGUUGUGGGUUCGAUCCCAGGCCUCGCUCAGUGGGUUAGGGAUUCAGCGUUGCUGUGAGCUGUGGUGUAGGUUGCAGACGCGGCUCGGAUCUCAUGUUGCUGUGGCUGUGGUGAAGGCCAGCAGCUCUAGCUCCAAUUUGUUUUUUUUUUUUGUUUUUUUUUUUUUAAUUUUCCCACUGUACAGCAAGGGGGUCAGGUUAUCCUUACAUGUAUACAUUACAAUUACAGUUUUUCCCC
ensembl:lncRNA